ensembl:lncRNA
UGAUUAUACAUAUAUAUAUAUAUAUAUAUGUAUUUAAAAGCAUAAUUACAAAGAAAACACGCGUAUAAAACUUCGGUAUAUAUAUGUACCUAUGCAAACGUAAAUAUGAAAAUAGAUCUAGAAUUAAUAAAAAAGAAAAGCGAACAUAAUGAGGGCCUGAUCGAAGAAUUAGAAGAAAUAGCUCUACACCAAUUGCAAAUUAAAAAAAUCGAAUUUAUUAACACUCAUUGUAAAAAUUUAAAAAUAUUACUACUACAAAACAAUCUAAUAGAAAAAAUUGAAAAUGUAAAUUGUUUAAAAAAAUUAGAAUAUUUAAAUCUCGCAUUAAAUAAUAUAACUCUUAUUGAGAAUUUAGAAAAAUGUGAAUCGUUAAGAAAGGUACGAAAAAGAAAAAAGUCAAGCGGUAUAGCAUACAUCAUGACAACAAAAAAGAGAAAAAAAUAAAAUAAAAAAAUAAAAAAAUAAAAAAAACGUAAACAUAUAUACAAAAACAUAUGAAAAAAACGUAUGCAAAAACAUAGACAAAAAACACAAGAAAAAACAUUAGUUGAUGUAGCAAGCAUAUGCUGUACAUAUAUAUUUUUUUUUUUUUUUUUUUUUUUUUUUUUCAUUUGUUCGCUUUUUUUUUUUUCUUCUUUUUUAGCUCGAUUUAACAUUAAAUUUUAUAAAUAUUUGUACUAUCGAAAAGUCAGUGUCGAACUUAAAAAAAAAUGGAAACCUAAAAGAGCUUUACCUUAUGGGUAACCCUUGUUCAGAUUGGCAAUACCUAAAAUAUUACAUAACAUUUGAAUUAGAACAACUAGAAGUGUUAGAUGGUUGUGAUAUUUUAGUAUCUGACAAGAUAAAGGCAAAGCAAGAAAUUGAAAAUGUGUUAAAAUCAUUAGAAGAAGAAAAAAAUAAAAAUAAAAAAAUAGAAUAUUCUGGUUCAAUUAAUGAAAGAAAAAAAAUGUAUGAAGAAAUUGAGAAAAAAGAAAUGGAAAAACAAAAAGAUAAUAACGAUUCUAAAAAAAAUGAAAAAAAAAAAUUAUCGAUAUAUACAAGUGACGGAAAUAUUCGACAGUGUAAUGAAGGCCACUACAAAUUCAUGUUCGACGAACAUUCAAGUCGGAAGUAUACUUUUUUGAAAAUAUAUGUACCGAAAUAUUUGAGUAACUCUUUAAUAAAAGUUGAUAUAAAUAUUAAUUAUGUCAGGUGUAUAAUUAAGGAUAAGUUGUUUCAAAUAAAAUUAAACGAUUUAAUAUUAACAGAUUUAAGUAAAAUAAUAAGAAAAAAAUAUACUGGUGAGUUGCAAAUAAAACUUAGAAAAAAAAGUUAUAGAAAAAAUAAAACUUUCGAAAAGGUAUAUUAUAACGAAGAGUAUUAUAGUGAGGUAUGGCCAAACGAAGAUAACAAAAAUGUAUUUAACGAUACAAAAAAGAAAUUAUCUAAAUCUAUAUUAUCACCUGCACGUAAUUUAUGUUUUUCGUCUUCUUCUUAUUCGUCGGACUCAUCAACUUCUUCAUUUCCUUUAUGUUUUAACUACCAAAAAACAAACUCUUUCUCUUAUAAAGAACAAAAAAAAAAGAAAAACUCAAGUAGUGGUAAUUUUACUAUACCUAAUAAAAGAGAAGAUGUAUACUGGUUGGAAGAGAAACAAACAACAUAUUCCGAAUCAGUUGUUAGCCAAAUACCGCCUCUUGAAAAAAUAUUAAAAGGUGAUUUUGUAGCAUGACAAAAAGAAACAUGCACGUACACUUAACCCUAAUCGUGAUGAAAAAUGUAACAUACUAUUUAUGUUUGAAAAUAAAAUACGUAUGCUGACACUUGCGCA